AUACCAGUGACUCUACAGUGAGCUUCCAGGCCUCCAACCUUUGGAUCCUUCAUCGCUUCCAUUCUGUGGUUUCUGACUUCCUGGGCUGGAUAACGACAGGAUCUUCCGCCUCUCCAGCAUGCAGACAGGCAUUGUGAAAUCCUCCUGCCUGAACCCACAGAUGACCACUGUGGGCCUCCCACCUCUGUUCCUGGCACUUUGCUGCUGGUGUCUGUGGGAGCUGUCAUCAUCUAAUGGGGCAGUUCUGCUGCUAGUGGCGCUGGAGAGGACAACCUUCUUGCUUCCAGAAAUAUCACACUGUAAUGUGCCAUCCAACUCACACUGGGGCCUCUGUUAUGCCAUAAUUAAGACAAAAUAAGAGAGAGGGAUCGAACUUGGGUCCUUCCACUUGCACAGCAGGCAGUGAAACCACUGAGCUAAAUCCUCUGGUAAGCUCUUUCUUAAUUAAGUUGCAUGGGGGAGUGGAAAUAACAUGAGCUUUAGGAUAGGAUAGACCUAGGCUUAAAUGCCUGCUCUUCUUGUUUCUAGUUCUAUGAACUUCAGCAAUUUACCUACUUUCUAAAUUUCAACCACCACAGCUAGAAGAUAGGAAUAAUGAUGGCUACUUUCUAGGGUCACUCAGGAAGAGUCGUUCUUUUUUUAAAUCUAGCCUAUGAGCCUCAGAACAUACAGCAGAACUCCAU
ensembl:lncRNA